rnacentral:rRNA from 1 species
GUCCACGCCGUAAACGAUGAAUGCCAGCCGUUGGGAAGUUUACUUUUCAGUGGCGCAGCUAACGCUUUAAGCAUUCCGCCUGGGGAGUACGGUCGCAAGAUUAAAACUCAAAGGAAUUGACGGGGGCCCGCACAAGCGGUGGAGCAUGUGGUUUAAUUCGACGCAACGCGCAGAACCUUACCAGCCCUUGACAUGUCUAUGACCGGCACCAGAGAUGGAGCCUUCCCUUCGGGGCAUAGAGCACAGGUGCUGCAUGGCUGUCGU